rnacentral:tRNA from 1 species
GCAUUGGUGGUUCAGUGGUAGAAUUCUUGCCUUCACUGCAGGGGACCCAGGUUGAAUUCUUGGCCAGCGCA